rnacentral:rRNA from 1 species
UACGUAGGGGGCGAGCGUUGUCCGGAUUUAUUGGGCGUAAAGAGCGUGUAGGCGGCCAGGUAGGUCAGCUGUGAAAACUCGAGGCUCAACCUCGAGACGUCGGUUGAAACCGUAAGGCUAGAGUCCGGAAGAGGAGAGUGGAAUUCCCGGUGUAGCGGUGAAAUGCGCAGAUAUCGGGAAGAACACCCGUGGCGAAGGCGGCUCUCUGGGACGGUACUGACGCUGAGACGCGAAAGCGUGGGGAGCGAACAGG